AGAGUUUGAUCCUGGCUCAGAAUCAACGCUGGCGGCGUGCCUAACACAUGCAAGUCGCACGAGAAAGGGUAGCAAUACCUGAGUAAAGUGGCGCACGGGUGAGUAACACGUGAAUGAUCUACCUCCGAGUGGGGAAUAACUGAGAGAAAUCUCAGCUAAUACCGCAUAACACUUACGAGUCAAAGCAGCAAUGCGCUUGGAGAGGAGUUCGCGGCCGAUUAGUUAGUUGGCGGGGUAAUGGCCCACCAAGACGAUGAUCGGUAUCCGGCCUGAGAGGGCGCACGGACACACUGGAACUGAAACACGGUCCAGACUCCUACGGGAGGCAGCAGUGGGGAAUUUUGCGCAAUGGGGGAAACCCUGACGCAGCAACGCCGCGUGGAGGAUGAAAUAUCUUGGUAUGUAAACUCCUUUCGAUGGGGAAGAUUAUGACGGUACCCAUAGAAGAAGCCCCGGCUAACUUCGUGCCAGCAGCCGCGGUAAUACGAGGGGGGCAAGCGUUGUUCGGAUUUAUUGGGCGUAAAGGGUGCGUAGGCGGUUUGAUAAGUCUGAUGUGAAAUCUAUGGGCUCAACCCAUAGUCUGCAUUAGAAACUGUCGGGCUUGAGUAUGGGAGAGGUGAGUGGAAUUUCCGGUGUAGCGGUGAAAUGCGUAGAUAUCGGAAGGAACACCUGUGGCGAAAGCGGCUCACUGGACCAUAACUGACGCUGAGGCGCGAAAGCCAGGGGAGCAAACAGGAUUAGAUACCCUAGUAGUCC
rnacentral:rRNA from 1 species